GGAAUCGCCUGUCUGCAUAAGUGCUGCAGCUGCUCGCACAGGACCCCGGAGUUGUGACCCGGAGACAGCAGAAGUCAGAAGGAAAGCAAAAAGAUCGAGAGAAAGGUAUUUAAACAAAGUUAAUUUUAAUGCAUUUCUUGUUCAGGCCUGUGAAAACAACCCUAAUGUUAACAUAUUACCGACAGUAACAUUUAUCUUUACGUUUAUGUGUUUGUCCCUCACGUGAUAAGUUUAAGAAACAGCCAGACCUAUCUUAAUGUCAGCUAGUUGUUCUUAAUGACUCCUUCCUGGUUGCAAUUUCAGAUGAGUAUUUUAAAUUAUUUUCAAAAGAAGAGGAAAGUUCCCGAGGAGGAGAGUCAGGUAACAAUAGAUAAAGAGGCUCAAUUCACGUUCCGAGGUGUUUGAUUAGCCUUCAUGUUCCGAGGAGUAGAAAUAACCCGGUGUUUUCCGUGGCAAGUGUUGUAUUUAAAUGUUCAUAACUUUGCGUUGUCCACAACUGAAUUAGAUAAGUUCACAGGCACAAGUUGAGGAGGUGAGUGGAGGAGGAGAGAAAGCUGGAGGCGCAGAGCAGGAAGGUGCAACAGCGUCUUCCAGCACUGCAAUGUGUGGUGAGGCAGGAGAAAGCACCAGGGAAGAAGAAUGUGAAGAAGAAGAGGCCACCUGUAAGAAAAACAGCAAGCAUCUGCUGACUGGAGCCUUCAAGAAUAUGGACCAGGUCAGCAUAAUGUCAAAAAUGGCAUCCCAGAAUGAUGAAUGGGGACAGCUGUACCCAUGCGUGAGCCAGCUAUCAGCCAUUGCUUCUGUGAGAGAGAUUUCCCGGCAAUGAACAGAGUGAAGACAGACCUGAGGAACAGGCUGCAGGGGGACCAUAUGGCAGCAUGCCUCCUACUCAGCAUCAAUGGGCCACCUCUGGCUGAGUUCCCGUAUCACAGAGCAUUAGAACUCUUUUUCAAAAAAGCGAGAAAACUUUCUUGAAAAAGUCUGACAAUGGGAACGUGUGCUUGACUGACUUCACCUCGAUUGAAGCAUCUAACUUUAACCAUGACCACCUCCAACUGCUCUUGCAACCUGAAUCCAGCUCUUUCACAAGCAUCUACCUUGACAGGAACAUGAAUUUGUAUUUGGAUCCCCAGAGAAAUACUCCUUUCCCUGGUCCCCUAUACCAUAAGGCUUACGACCUCACCACAUAAUACUCUACUGCGGAUCUAUCUGUCAGAGUGCAUCUGGUUGAACUGGACAACUGCAAGGAUACUGUUGAGCCAAUACCCGAACCAUCACCAUCACCAUCACCACCACCACCAUCAUCAGCACCAUCGCCAUCACCAUCACCAUCGCCCAUACCAAACAUUGACGGCUUCAACAGGGACCAACACUAUUUUUGAUUGACCUGAUGCACCAGCACAUCAGAGUGGAAGGUAGCGGUCUUCCAAAGAACCUGCAAGAGCUGAAUACACGGCUAAGAACUGCCAAGUCCAACAAGAAAAUGCUGUGGAAAGAGGCAGCAGAUAAGUUGGGAAGCCAUUUCCAACAGAUUUUCUGCCCUGACAAGGUGGCCAGAAAAUGGAACACACUUGUUGAUGCAAAAAGGUAAAAGACAAUAAUAACUCAACAGAGAGGGGAGCCAUGCGCUUCCAGUUUUAUAGUGAAAUGGAAGCCCUUCUGGGAGAGCAGCAUGAUGUGGUGUUCCCUGACAUCAGAGCGGCUUGAAAUUCUUGAUUUGAAAGACUUGAGGUGCUGGGACGUUGCUGCAGCAGCAGCAGCAGCAGCAGCAGCACAGCAUUAGCUGACACAGUAUCCAGCCCUAUAGUAAACACAGGACCAAAAGCAACCACAUCCACCCCACACAACCCCCGUAAACGUAGGUUGGUGAAUGAUGAGGUGAUGGAGUUCCUGUGACAGUCAGGAGAGGCCAGUCAGCUGCGCCACCAAGAGACAAUGGCACAACUGAAGUCUGCACAACAGGGUUUUGAGGCUCUGAUGACAAAAUUCCUGGAAAAAAUUUAAUGUUGCCAGGUGUGGUGUGUUAAAUGUAAGUUCAAUUUUCAUGUGGUUUAUUCAGUGCACCUUUUUAAAUAAUUGCACCUAAACAUUGUUUGCACUACUUUCUAUGUUUACAGAGCCAUUUUCUUUCUUGCACAUAAAGUGUUUGCACUACGUUCUAUUGUAUGCUUACAGAGCCAUUUUCUUUCUUGCACAAGUGUUUGCACUACGUUCUACUGUAUGUUUACAGAGCCAUUUUCUUUCUUGCACAAGUGUUUGCACUACGUUCUUCUGUAUGUUUACAGAGCCAUUUGCUUCCGACACCAGUUAAGCAAAUUUUUUUAUACAUUUAGAUACAACUUUUGUUACUGUACCAUAAAAGUUUAAUAUAUUUGGAACUAUAUUUGAUUUGUAUGAUGAAGCAAAGUAAGAUGCAUCUUUUGUUAAUAUACCAUUGAAGUUUAAUAUAUCUGGUACAAUAUUUGAUUUGUUCUUGUGUGUCAUUGUAUGAAUA